GUUGAACGCUGGCGGCAGGCCUAACACAUGCAAGUCGAGCGGGGUUUUCGGACCUAGCGGCGGACGGGUGAGUAAUGCGCAGGAAGAUGCCCGAAAGAAGGGGAUACCAGUUGGAAACAACUGUUAAUACCGCAGAAUGUCUGCGGACCAAAGUGUGGGACCUUAGGGCCACAUGAUAUCGGAUGCGCCUACGUGGGAUUAGCUAGUUGGUGAGGUAAUGGCGUACCAAGGCGACGAUCUGUAGCUGGUUUGAGAGGAUGAGCAGCCACACUGGAACUGAGACACGGUCCAGACUCCUACGGGAGGCAGCAGUGGGGAAUAUUGGACAAUGGGCGCAAGCCUGAUCCAGCCAUGCCGCGUGUGUGAAGAAGGCCUUCGGGUUGUAAAGCACUUUCAGCGAGGAGGAAGGGUGGUGUGUUAAUAGCACAUCAUUUUGACGUUACUCGCAGAAGAAGCACCGGCUAACUCUGUGCCAGCCGCCGCGGUAAUAC
rnacentral:rRNA from 1 species